rnacentral:rRNA from 1 species
AUUGAACGCUGGCGGCAUGCUUUACACAUGCAAGUCGAACGCCGUAGCAAUACGGAGUGGCAGACGGGUGAGUAACGCGUGGGAACCUACCUUACGGUCGGGAAUAGCUCAGGGAAACUUGGGGUAAUACCGGAUACGCCCUUACGGGAAAGAUUUAUCGCCGUUAGAUGGGCCCGCGUCGGAUUAGCUAGUUGGUGAGGUAACGGCUCACCAAGGCGACGAUCCGUAGCUGGUCUGAGAGGAUGAUCAGCCACACUGGGACUGAGACACGGCCCAGACUCCUACGGGAGGCAGCAGUGGGGAAUAUUGGACAAUGGGCGCAAGCCUGAUCCAGCCAUGCCGCGUGAGUGACGAAGGCCUUAGGGUUGUAAAGCUCUUUUGGCGGGGAAGGAUAAUGACGGUACCCGCAGAAUAAGCUCCGGCUAACUUCGUG